rnacentral:rRNA from 1 species
UGGGGAAUAUUGGACAAUGGGCGAAAGCCUGAUCCAGCCAUGCCGCGUGUGUGAAGAAGGCCUUUUGGUUGUAAAGCACUUUAAGCGAGGAGGAGGCUACUUAGAUUAAUACUCUAGGAUAGUGGACGUUACUCGCAGAAUAAGCACCGGCUAACUCUGUGCCAGCAGCCGCGGUAAUACAGAGGGUGCGAGCGUUAAUCGGAUUUACUGGGCGUAAAGCGUGCGUAGGCGGCUUCUUAAGUCGGAUGUGAAAUCCCUGAGCUUAACUUAGGAAUUGCAUUCGAUACUGGGAAGCUAGAGUAUGGGAGAGGAUGGUAGAAUUCCAGGUGUAGUGGUGAAAUGCGUAGAGAUCUGGAGGAAUACCGAUGGCGAAGGCAGCCAUCUGGCCUAAUACUGACGCUGAGGUACGAAAGCAUGGGGAGCAAACAGG